rnacentral:lncRNA from 1 species
AUGUCUAAUUUGGUGGUCCCGAUGAAAUGUGCUUUCUGUUUCAUGUUUCCCGGUGAGAUAAGACGGCUAUCAGGGCAGGAAGCCUUCUUGGAAGUCACCGUGGGCUUGGCAUCGCCGCGCAUCGAGGUAGCCAUGGAAACCUGCUCUCAAAGCCGGCGCCGGCUGAUAAGAACCUCAAGUGCCACCGCCUGUGUCCGGCCGGGAGAAGGUGAGCAGGAAAGCUGUAUAGAAACAGAUCACAAUUUGGUAAAUUCUACCUGCUGGAGAAGUUUUUCAGCAUUCCCUAGGAAGGCAUUAUAUCUACGAUCACCCAAGUUACCUGGAAACAAAAGACACCUGAAUUUUUGGAGCAAAACCUGGCACUCAGCUACACUUGCCAUAUGA